rnacentral:rRNA from 1 species
UACGGAGGGUGCAAGCGUUGUCCGGAAUCACUGGGCGUAAAGGGCGCGUAGGCGGCUCGGUAAGUAGGGGGUGAAAUCCUGCGGCUCAACCGCAGGGCUGCCUUCUAAACUGUCGAGCUCGAGCACGGUAGAGGCAGAUGGAAUUCCCGGUGUAGCGGUGGAAUGCGUAGAGAUCGGGAAGAACAUCAGUGGGGAAGGCGGUCUGCUGGGCCGUUGCUGACGCUGAGGCGCGACAGCGUGGGGAGCAAACAGG